rnacentral:rRNA from 1 species
UACGUAGGGUGCAAGCGUUGUCCGGAAUUAUUGGGCGUAAAGAGCUCGUAGGCGGUUUGUCGCGUCCGCUGUGAAAACUCGGGGCUUAACUCCGGGCCUGCAGUGGGUACGGGCAGACUAGAGUGCGGUAGGGGAGACUGGAAUUCCUGGUGUAGCGGUGAAAUGCGCAGAUAUCAGGAGGAACACCGGUGGCGAAGGCGGGUCUCUGGGCCGUAACUGACGCUGAGGAGCGAAAGCGUGGGGAGCGAACAGG